CCUACGGGAGGCAGCAGUAGGGAAUUUUCCACAAUGGGCGAAAGCCUGAUGGAGCAACGCCGCGUGGGUGAAGAAGGUCUUCGGAUCGUAAAACCCUGUUGUUAGAGAAGAAAGUGCGUGAGAGUAACUGUUCACGUUUCGACGGUAUCUAACCAGAAAGCCACGGCUAACUACGUGCCAGCAGCCGCGGUAAUACGUAGGUGGCAAGCGUUAUCCGGAGUUACUGGGCGUAAAGGGAACGCAGGCGGUCUUUUAAGUCUGAUGUGAAAUCCCUCGGCUUAACCGGGGUAGUGCAUCGGAAACUGGGAGACUUGAGUGCAGAAGAGGAGAGUGGAAUUCCAGGUGUAGCGGUGAAAUGCGUAGAUAUAUGGAAGAACACCAGUGGCGAAGGCGGCUCUCUGGACGGUAACUGACGCUGAGGUUCGAAAGCGUGGGUAGCAAACAGGAUUAGAUACCCGUGUAGUC
rnacentral:rRNA from 1 species